rnacentral:rRNA from 1 species
AUGGUGAAAUUUAAUGUUGAUGGAGCGGUGGCGAGACGCAGCCGUGGCGGUGCUGUCGCCGCGGUCUGCAGAGAUCAUUCAGGCCUAUAUUUGGGGUCCUCGGUGGUGGUUUACCAUGGUGUUUUUGAUCCAACUAUUUUGGAAACCUUUGCUUGCAGGGAGGCUUUGGCACUUGCCAGCGAUCUUCAGGUAUCACAUAUGAUAAUAGCUUCAGAUUGCCAAGGAGUGGUGAACGAUAUAAACCAAGGGACAGGAGGACCGCACUCAGCUAUCAUUUGGGAGAUUUUAGACCGUAAAAACAAUUUUAUUUCUGCUUCUUUAUUCAUGAGCGUAGAAACUUUAAUUUUGAGGCUCAUAAGCUCGCCAAAUUUGCUUGUAAUCUUCAGCCAGGAAGACAUGUAUGGUUGGUCACUCCCCAUGACCAUCGCAUUGUACCCAUGA